rnacentral:rRNA from 1 species
CCUACGGGUGGCAGCAGUCGGGAAUAUUGCGCAAUGGAGGAAACUCUGACGCAGUGACGCCGCGUAUAGGAAGAAGGUUUUCGGAUUGUAAACUAUUGUCGUUAGGGAAGAUAAACGACUGUACCUAAGGAGGAAGCCCCGGCUAACUAUGUGCCAGCAGCCGCGGUAAUACAUAGGGGGCAAGCGUUAUCCGGAAUUAUUGGGUGGACAGGGUGCGUAGGCGGAUUUUUAAGUCAGCGGUAAAAUGUCCGGGCUCAACCCGGGCCGGCCGUUGAAAUUGGGGAUCUUGAGUGGGCGAGAAGUAUGCGGAAUGCGUGGUGUAGCGGUGAAAUGCAUAGAUAUCACGCAGAACUCCGAUUGCGAAGGCAGCAUACCGGCGCCCGACUGACGCUGAGGCACGAAAGCGUGGGGAUCGAACAGGAUUAGAUACCCCAGUAGUC